UUGGAGGGCAAGUCUGGUGCCAGCAGCCGCGGUAAUUCCAGCUCCAAUAGCGUAUAUCAAAGUUGUUGCAGUUAAAAAGCUCGUAGUUGAAUUUCGGGAUUAGUACGUCGGUCGUGCCUUAGGUACGUACUGGUGUUACUGGUUCCUACCUUCUGACGAACCAUCAUGUCAUUAAUUUGGUGUGGUGGGGAAUCAGGACUGUUACUUUGAAAAAAUUAGAGUGUUUAAAGCAGGCUCGCGCUUGAAUACAUUAGCAUGGAAUAAUGAAAUAGGACGUUGAUCCUAUUUUGUUGGUUUCUAGGAUUGACGUAAUGAUUAAUAGGGAUAGUUGGGGGCAUUAGUACUCAAUUGUCAGAGGUGAAAUUCUUGGAUUUAUUGAAGACUAACUACUGCGAAAGCAUUUGCCAAGGAUGUUUUCAUUAAUCAAGAACGAAAGUUAGGGGAUCGAAGACGAUCAGAUACCGUCGUAGUCUUAACCAUAAACUAUGCCGACUAGGGAUCGGAUGAUGUUAUUUUUAAUGACUCAUUCGGCACCUUACGGGAAAC
rnacentral:rRNA from 1 species